rnacentral:rRNA from 1 species
GAUGAACGCUGGCGGCGUGCCUAAUACAUGCAAGUCGAGCGAACAGACGAGGAGCUUGCUCCUCUGACGUUAGCGGCGGACGGGUGAGUAACACGUGGAUAACCUACCUAUAAGACUGGGAUAACUUCGGGAAACCGGAGCUAAUACCGGAUAAUAUAUUGAACCGCAUGGUUCAAUAGUGAAAGACGGUUUUGCUGUCACUUAUAGAUGGAUCCGCGCCGCAUUAGCUAGUUGGUAAGGUAACGGCUUACCAAGGCAACGAUGCGUAGCCGACCUGAGAGGGUGAUCGGCCACACUGGAACUGAGACACGGUCCAGACUCCUACGGGAGGCAGCAGUAGGGAAUCUUCCGCAAUGGGCGAAAGCCUGACGGAGCAACGCCGCGUGAGUGAUGAAGGUCUUCUGAUCGUAAAACUCUGUUAUUAGGGAAGAACAAAUGUGUAAGUAACUAUGCACGUCUUGACGGUACCUAAUCAGAAAGCCACAGCUAACUACGU